ensembl:lncRNA
CCCCCAUCUGCUUUUUAACGUCACUUUAUGUCAAGCCCCUCCUAUCUACCCGCAGACUACCUGCUUACCAAACCACCCUUUUGCACUCAUUCUUUUGAUCUGUAUCAGCAAAAACAGUAAGAACAAAGAAAGCCAACCUACUAGUCUCCUUUUAGAACCAUUGCAAUGGAGGUCUGGUGCAUAACAGCACAUCUAAUGCUGUUAACAGCACCCGGGACUGAAUUUGUGGAUGCUAUCUGUGAAGGAGCAGAUGCACACCUUCACUUGGAGCAUCAGGAAGCAUUUAUUGGAUCUUCUCCAAGUUUCAACUGCACUUUCACGCUGCCAAAUGGGGCAGAGAGAUUCAGGGUCAACUGGCUCCUGAACCAAAGCACUGAUAAACACUGCCAGGGCUUCGAGCUCUCCAGUCAGACUCCAACCGAUCAGACAGGGGCAUCGAGGAAAGACCAGCAUGUUUACCAAGUGACUGAAAAAACCCUGUCCCUGCUAACAGUAAAAGAUGUUGGAUACAAUUACAGUGGCUGGUACUACUGCCGUGUCACUGUGGAGAUUCCAGAACUUUGUCAUUUCUGCAGCCGUGGAGCACAGCUUAUCAUCAAGGGCAAUGAUACUUUUGCAACUUUCCACACUGCAGAGGGCAAUGAUACUUUUGCAACUUUCCAAACUGCAGCCCCCAAUAUCUCCCAGACUGUUCCCACAUGGAGUGGAAGGUGGUUGCUCUUCAUUGCGGUGCCAUCUGGAAUUAUCUUGCUGGCUGUGUUCACAGUGGGCAUCUGGGUCAUUUACAGGAGAAAAAGCCACAGUUCAGAAAAUCCAAUCUAUGAAAACAUGCAUCCAGCAAUCAACAAAGCAGCUUCACCUCAUAGAGAGGAGAAAAGAACCUCUAGUUUGGCUAUGCUUGAUCACACAGGAAUCGCAGAACAAUCAAGACCCCCAGGUGGCAAGUGGAGUCCAAAGCCAUACAUUUAACCUAUUUUUGCAUUGUGGUUUUCUCAGUGUUCUUCAUGCAAACUGCAUCUGUUGUUCAGCUGCCCACUAUAUACCUCAUGCAGUGGAGGUUACUCUUUUUCCAGUGUCAGAAAUCUAAAGAAAAUGGAAAUUAUCAAUGGAAAUGACAAUUUCAUGUUUCAAUCUCGAUAAAACUGUGAGAAAUCUCUACAGUACAGCAUUGCCUGAUGUAAGCACUGCGUCUAUGUCUAGUUCUGAGUAGCACGAAUAGCUCACCAACUCGUGACGCCUCCUAUAUGACGGGUGGCCUGGCUCUCAUACACAGAGAGGUCAGGAAGAGUGGAAACUGAGGGGUUCCUUUUCGUUUUCAGGUUGCAAGAGUUCAGGGAAACAAAAAUAUAUCUCUAUCUGAUAUCAUUCAUGUUUUUCCUUCCAGAGACAUACUGUGCUAUGAAUGGUGAAGAUGCAGAAUUUUGUAUAUUUAUUCAUUUGCAAAGGGACCCACAUCACUUCACCAUAUAGUAAGGAAAUCUAAACAAAAGUAAUACAAGUACACAGCUUAUAAUGCAGUUUGAAAUGAAUUAGGAAAACACGUCUUUCUACAGGCCAUCACCAAUUGUUGUUCACAUGCGCAGGAGAACUGGUUUUCACUGGAAAAGUAACUCAUCGCUCAUGGCUAAGAGCUGAAAACCCACAGAAAGAGGGUCAGGGUUGCAUGCGGUAAAGUAAGAAUAUGCAAGCCUGACACCACGCUGCAGUUAAAUCUGCUCUUACAUUUUCUAGCCAUGAGUCACAGCACUAGAUUUCACCUUAUUUCAUUUUUAUCCCGUAAUUGUUUUGUUUAAUAUUUUAACAUUUCCACAAAACCCAUAGUCAAAUAUAUUGCAGUUUAUUUUAUUCUGCAUGGAUUCUAUCUACAUUUCUCCUUAAAUAUAUCAAUAAUCUAAGUUAAAUGGAUUUUUGUGAUGUUUUCAGAAGUUUCCAGAUACUGUAAAUUGCAUGUACAUUUUAUUUAAUAAAAAAAUUAUUGUCUGUUUCUGUGUCA